GGAAUCUUGCGCAAUGGGCGAAAGCCUGACGCAGCGACGCCGCGUGCGGGAAGAAGGCCUUCGGGUUGUAAACCGCUUUCAGGAGGGACGAAGCCACUCGGGUUAAUAGCCCAGAGGGUGACGGUACCUCCCGAAGAAGCCCAGGCCAACUACGUGCCAGCAGCCGCGGUAAUACGUAGGGGGCGAGCGUUGUCCGGAUUUAUUGGGCGUAAAGAGCUCGUAGGCGGCUUAGCAAGUCGGAUGUGAAAACUUCAGGCUCAACCGGGAGAUGGCAUUCGAUACUGCCAUGGCUAGAGUCCGGUAGGGGACCACGGAAUUCCUGGUGUAGCGGUGAAAUGCGCAGAUAUCAGGAGGAACACCGGUGGCGAAGGCGGUGGUCUGGGCCGGCACUGACGCUGAGGAGCGAAAGCGUGGGGAGCAAAC
rnacentral:rRNA from 1 species